rnacentral:rRNA from 1 species
UACGUAGGGUGCGAGCGUUGUCCGGAUUUAUUGGGCGUAAAGGGCUCGUAGGCGGCUUGUCGCGUCGGGAGUGAAAGCCCGCUGCUUAACGGCGGGUUUGCUUUCGGUACGGGCAGGCUGGAGUACGGCAGGGGAGACUGGAAUUCCUGGUGUAGCGGUGGAAUGCGCAGAUAUCAGGAGGAACACCGGUGGCGAAGGCGGCCCC